GUUAUACUCCCUCCGUCCGAAAAUACCAGUCAUCAAAAUGGAUAAAAAGAGAUGUAUUUAGAACUAAAAUACAUCUAGAUACAUCCCCUUUUAUCCAUUUUGAUGACAAGUAUUUCCGGACGGAGGGAGUAGAAU
rnacentral:pre_miRNA from 1 species